GGAAAUCAUGUCAAAGAGCAAGACACUUGUUUGAGGCAGAGGGUGAAAUAGAAUCUACUCAAGCCUAAUACAAUCAGGGAAGCAACAUGGCCUGUUCUGAUGUUGACAUGGACAUCCAAGACUAUGAGAAUCCAGAUGAAACCGACCAGAGAGACCUGCCGACAAUGCAGCAGCACCAGGCUUCAGCGAUGAGGCCAGAUAGCAAAGAACCUCUGCAUGACCUGCUGCAGAAACAGCCGGCUGUAUCGGGGAUAAGAGAAUCAAAACAGCCAGAUGCACUGGGGAUUCUGCAGAUGAUUUUCGGCCUCCUCAGCAUUGGAUUAGGAAUUGGUCUUUCUGUAACCAUUGACAUUGGACAGUCCCUUACCACUCUGUUCAGAGUCUUUCAACUGACUGGA